GGGACACACCUGCAGCCCAGCGGACAGCCCACCAGCCUCCAAACAGUUCUGCGAAAAAUUAGGCUAUCUUUCAUUAGCUAUCUAUCAUGCGGCCUCCACCAGGCUGCAGGAUAUGAGGGCCAUUUAAUUAGGCCCUGCACCACUCUCGGGUGUGAAAAGGCUCUCAAACGCUUUGAUUCCCCGCUGCUUCGCAGCAGGAAGUUGUUGGCGAUAAUUGACAUAGGAUUUCCUUGUUAACCAGCAGCAGACACGCCGGAUUAAAGCGACAGAGAUCUCGAGAAGAAAGUGAAAGAGAUAAGAAGCUCGGAAGACUUCUGCUUAUUUGGCACUUGAGGAUGGCAGGAAACAGCAAUAACCUACUCAAGUGGCGACUCUAGAGUGGAAGGGCGUCCCCUUAUCAGACCUAUUUCAGCUUGGCUGAUCAAAGAUUGACUCCCCGCAAAAUCACAUAGGCCUGGGGUUUGUUAGUUUAUUAAGCAGCAGGUUUUAGGAAUUAUCACAGGUUUAAAGAUGGAUUGCAGUUUAUGUGAAGGGGGAGAGGAUUAUCGGGUUUUCAUCUUAACAAUUAUAAAAUAUCACAGCUGAAAGCUUGCUUGCAAAUGACAUAAUUUUCCACUGCCAACUAAACAGGUCAUUGUGAGGCUGCCUGUGAGCGCACUCAACGAGGGAGGAAAUACAGGCAAAUUAACUCUGGGGAGGACCGGGGAUGAGGGGCCUCCACGCCUUGUUCCACUUCGGAAGACGGUGCGAUCUCAUUUUGCCCUGUGCGAUUCCUUAGUUUUACUCAUCUGAAGGGCUGAAGAGUAACCAGUCUCCUGUCCCCUGAUCCUGCUGAUGGAAGAGACUUAGAAAUCAUUUCAUCAGCCAGGGCUGCUUUGCCCAGAGAAACAUCUGUCCAAGAAGGCAGACAAACCAGGGGAGUAUCAGUAACUGAAAUGAAAUAUAGCAAGGACAUCACCUUCUCGAUCUGUUCCUGGACUGUGCCUUGGGAAGGAUUGUCCCUGGACCUCUUGUAAUUUAGAGUAGAGAAAUCAGAGUCAAAAGGGCCUUGUUGUAAAUAGUUUUCUCGUUACCGUCUUGGAAAAUUUCCAGCAAAGUUCUGGGAAAAUAACAUGAUGCCCUGAUGCUAGUAAUAUAGUCUGACUCGCAAUUCCACCUUCCAUGGGACUGUACACAUAAAUGAAAACAAAUUUCUAAGCUUGAGUUUAAGACUGUAUCUAUAAAGAAUAUCCACAGAGAAGGUCAGGGAGUUCUUUCUAAAUACAGUAAUCAACUCUGCUUUUUCAAAUAAGGAAGAGUUUGUACUUCCAAUCUUCUACGGAGAAGAACUGCAAUGCUCAAACUCUUUUAAGUUUCCUUUGAGGCCUAACAAAACAAGAAGAUACUCAGCUAGAAGAUUCCUCUGUGAGGCUGCUAGUACUUCUCCAGCAGACCAAGCCAGGAGAGCUUUCUCAAAGAUUCUACCAGAUUUUCCAGGGGUUCUCAAAGAUUGUCUGCAAACCAGCUCUGAUAAAUGAUUGCAGCUUCUUGAGUCUAUAGAGAGAGACCUUUAUGCUCUCUCUACUAGGAAGUAAUGCUUUUUUCCCUGAGAUUAUGUUCUUUUUAAAAUUUUUAUGUGCUUUUAAAAUCUCAUGUGUGUAUUAACAUGUCCUUUCUUUAUAGAAUGUUGAAGACAAUAUAUAAAUUUCUGAAAAGAUUUGAAUGAUUUGAUUUGGCAAAAUAAAGAAUUGCCAAUCCUACAUAGAGCUCCAUACACCAAUUUUUAAAAAUAAUUUUAUUGCUUCACAAAAUCUGGGAACCACUGGAUAUAUGAAGUAUCUCUUUUAGCUAAAGCAAAGUCAACUCUCACCCUCGAAAAAAGUUCAUUUUUUGAUCUGUUUUUAUUUUUCUGUGGCAAAAAGUGCUUUUGUGAUGCCUCUAUGAAUAAAAGACUCAUUUUCCUAA
ensembl:lncRNA novel transcript